GGAGAGCACUGGCUCAGUGGUAGGGCAUCUGCUUUUCAUGCAGAAGGUCUCAGGUUCAAUCCCUGGCAUCUCCA